ACAGAAUUUUUUUACAGUGUGGUUUCAGAUAUCACACACGUUAUGUCCAUCUCUGUGUUGAUGCAUAAGGGAGUGGCAACACAUUUGUGGUUCUAAAUGGACAAAAGCUCUCAUCUGCAAACCACAUGAUGAAAGAUUUUUAGUGGGUAGCAUUUGUGCAACGCCUUCUUACAAAAAGGGUUUGAACGAGAAUCUGUGCCAAACAAAGACCUGUAGGAGUACUGUAGAGAUCAGUUCAUUAUAAAAGAGUUUCAACCAGAAGCUGUGCCAUUACCAAGACCUGUAGGAGUGAAGAGGAACACGUGAGAACAAGAAGUUCAUGAAGAUAAAACCAAGAGGCAUCACAUUCUCAAGUCUGCCAACUAUAUCAGAAGUCAAGAACAUCUUCAUCAGUUCGUCCACUUGUUCUACAUUUACAAAGUCACCUGCAAUGGAAACUGAGGAAAAUUUGACUUUUUAUGAAAACACUUGGAUUUCAAACAAUAGGCUCCCUGCACAAUAUGGCGACCGCUGACGUUUCAAACUUGACUGUGAGGCUCAGUACUUCCGGUGAAAACUUCCGGUGCGGUGAUCUGACAGCGAGAGCGGUGGACAGAGAGAUAACAGCGACUGAGUUCAACAAACAGCGACAAAGAGAUAUGUUUAGAGAAAGCCGACUGGCCUUCCAACGGGUAAAAAAGUCACAAUUAGAUUGUUGUGUUCCCAUUCGUCACGUCAUAAUAACGCAGAUAAACGUUUUCAGACAUGUAGAUACUGCGGUAAGUCAAGAUCUGUAGGGACAGCUUCAACCCUAACUUACCUGUAUGUGCG